UAUCAUCAAUAUUUGGAUCUCUUAUAUGUGCCUGUGCUGCUGUAUAUUGGUUGGUGUUGAUUUGCAGUAAGAGGAAAUGUACUAUUGUUCUCAUCAAUUUCUUUCAUACCAUGUUAUAGAAAUAUGUUGUUUAAAUAUGAAGAGGCGGAUAAGUUUCUGGCUUUAGUUACUGACUAUCCAGAUCCGGCUUGCUUCUCAGCCAUGGCCUACAUUUAGAAGAAAUAUGUUGUUGAAAUAUGAAGAGGUGGAUAAGUUUCUGGCUUUAGUUACUGAAUAUCUAGAUCCGGCUUGCUUCUCAGCCAUGGUCUACAUUUAGAGAAGACAUGUUCAUAUGUAAGAGAUUUAAGGUCAAUGAUCUCCCCCUGUUGUAAUGCUCAUCAUCUUAAAUCGGACAUUGCUAUAUAUAUGCACCAUGGUUCAUGACUGUACUUUUUUCAUACGUCUUUACAAAGUUUGUCAGUAUUAUUAUGCAGAGACAACCUGUCAUGGUUCUGCGUUGAUGUGUUCGUUCAUUUGUCAGUUUCUUUUGCUUUGAAACAAUGUUGAUUGGCUGAAAGAAUGGUUGCGCGUGUCUUACACGCUUAUACCUACUUGAAAGUUAAAUUUUAUUAGCAAAUCCAUCGAGAACAAUGUCAACAUUUUACGUCUUGCUACAUGAAGCUAUGUACUGCAGGGUACAAUAGUGUUAACAUUUCCGGUGCUCAUUGACAAUAAGAUCGAAGAUGUAUUUUCUUGAUUGGAAAUAUUAUACCUCAAAUUUAAUUCAACUGUGGUUACAAUGACAACUUUAUGCCUUGAAUAACAAGUGAUUAUGUGAGUGUAGGAAUUAGGACUGGUGACAACAACAUGUGGAGCGGCACAACAAGUGGUGCUGUGGGGGCACCGAAGCAAGGGCAGUCAGGCAAAUCCAACGGCGUGAACGUCCCUAUGUAUAGCUUGGGAGGGGUCCCAUCGCUGACUGCGAUCGCCCUAUCUGGAGAAGGGGCACGUUGGUUCAUGAAACAAUCAACACGUCUUUAUGACUCGGAAUUAGGAAUCCUAUGCACUUUGCAUCAAAUUUGAAUUCCCAAAAGAGUUAUUCAUGUUAUGAUAGAAAUAUUUAUGUUUCAUAUUCGAGACGUGCGUUGCACGUACAUGAUUACUAGUUAAACUAACUAAUCUGGUUAAUUA
rnacentral:lncRNA from 1 species